CGGCUCACCACGGGCCACAUCCCCUGGUGGACAAUUCUUGAGAACCCCUUGGGGACAACUUUGGCAGGACCUGGGGGCCAGCUUGGAGUCCUUUUCUCUCUAGAACUGAGGUCAACUCAAGGCCCUCCACCUGCCUCUAAUAGAAGACCACCCACGCCCUGCUCCCUGGGGGGUUCUGUUCUCUGUGGAGUGGCCUGAGCCUGCUGAGGUGGCCUGGGAUGACGUUCCCUGAGGUUCCCUGCUUCCUCCUCCACCAGCCCAGGCCAGAUCAGUUCUCCCAGAUGGCAAGCUCUUCUCUCCAGGAGGGGAGACCAAGGCCAGGGGGCGGGGAUGACAGGGUUGGUGCUUGGUGGCUGCCGUGCUGGUGACCUGGCUGCCCCUUGCACGGCCUCCAGACGUCCUUCAGCAGGGGGCUCUGACCCGUUUCUGUCACCCUAGCUCCUCUCCCACGUAGCAGCCAGGCAUGGCAGGCUGGGGUGGUGGCUCUGGUCCAUGGUUAGGAGAAAUGUGAGCCUCAAGUUCCAGCUAGAGUUCCUCCCCAGGGGACAGGUGGCUGGGAUGCUCAAUAGGUAGCCCCAGCAGUUGGCACUCCUUGCCAAGGGCAGCCACGUGGUUCUGGGAGGCACCAGGGCCUGUCUCAUUUUGAGAAAAGGCUGCGCAUCCCUUUGGCACUGGGCUGGCCCCUCUCGGAUCAGCAGGUCCCAGUGGUAUCAGGCGAGCAGCCUGGGCUCUUUCGGGCCUUGCCUGGCCUGGCUGCCUGCCCAGAGAAAUACCGCCAUCUUUGAUGGCUUCUCUUCUCCUUAGCUGGUGAAAUGCUCCCGUCUCUGAUGUGCCUUCUGUUUAAUUUCCGGGGGCUUCCUUCUCCCCCUGAUGAUCAGAAGCCACAGCCUGCUGACUGGUUCUGCAGUGUGUCUGCUUCUCUGCUGGUCUGGGGGCUGGAGCACCACUGAUCCACCUGUAUCCCAAGGCCCUGCCUGACUCAGAGCCUGGUACAUGUCCAUGGAAGGAGUGAAUGAGGGGUGAAUGCGGAGAAACCCAGGAGGACAUUUUUGAAGAAAAUAAAAACAGGUGACCAUGAAGGAGGGACUCUGGCCAAG
rnacentral:lncRNA from 1 species